rnacentral:misc_RNA from 1 species
GUGAAUCAUCAAAUCUUUGAACGCAAAUUGCACUCUUUGGUAUUCCGGAGAGCAUGCCUGUUUGAGGGUCAGUUUAAACAAAGAUCGGCGAGGUUGCUGCCUUUCGUGGUGACGCACGGGAUUUGGGUCGUCUUGCCUUGGGUUAAGUGAUGUAAAAUUUUGCAAGAUUUUUUUCGCACGUAUUUAAAUGAUUUUACGUACGUUUGCGAUAUUGAUUACUAGGUGCGGUCAUC